ACGGAGGAUCCAAGCGUUAUCCGGAUUUACUGGGUUUAAAGGGUGCGUAGGCGGAGUGAUAAGUCAGUGGUGAAAGCCUACAGCUUAACUGUAGAACUGCCAUUGAUACUGCCAUUCUGGAGUAUGGUUGAGGUAGCUGGAAUGUGUAAUGUAGCGGUGAAAUGCUUAGAGAUGACGCAGAACACCAGCGGCGAAGGCAGGUUACCAGCCCAUUACUGACGCUGAGGCACGAAAGCGUGGGGAGCAAACAG
rnacentral:rRNA from 1 species